rnacentral:piRNA from 1 species
UCAACUAUUCCUCUUACGAAA